GAACCUUUACUCGCUGUGUUCAGCUUGCUGCUUCCAUUAGGAGGAAGAACCACACUUGUGUGUCACGUGCCAGGUUGUAGAAGAAAACAAGAGAUUGUGCGGAAGCAUCAGUAAGUGGUCCACAGAGCCUAAACUGCUUCGUCGUUGGUCUUUUACAGAACAAACUCCUUGGGGAGAGAACACUGUUUCUCUGAAUAAGGGGCCAAGCCUGGACCGUGUUCGCGAGGGCCACCCUCACAGCACACCUCCGAAGCCUCUCCCAAGGAGACUCCCACUGGGGGCUGGCCUUUCCAGAAGGAGUCCUCCCUCCCCAGUCCGAACGGCCCCACCUCCUCACCCACUCUGCAGUCUCCUUCUCCUUCCAUCCCCAACAUGACAGCUGUAAAGUGGGAAUCGAGCGUGCAGUGUUUCUUUGUGUGACCGAGCUAGCCCAAGACAGAGGCUCUAAACACAAUGUACUCCAGCACUCAGACUUUGCAAAAGAAGAAGCUGGUGCCCAGGGAACGAAAGUGACCUCUCUGAAGGGCUGCCGUUAGUCGGUGCAGAGCAGUGUUGAAGAUAUACAGAUAAAACAAGAUGUCAUCUCUGGCCUCAAGGUGCUGUGUCCUUUUGCAGUCCUGCGCUUUACGGAAGAGAAGGCAGCAUGAAACUCCAUGAAAGUGAGAAGUUAUGUCACUUACUCCUUUCCUGGAUGCUUCACGUCUGGCACUAUUUUGUGAUGUAGUGAAUGAAGUGCCAAAGGGAGUGUUGAAAAGGAAAAUGUUAAUUUUCUCUGGAAUGGCCGAGAAAGGCCUCACGAAAGAGACGACACGUGGCAGGAGGAGGAGCAGAUGUACAUUUCUGCAGAGGGAACAUCGUGAGACAGAACUUGGAG